rnacentral:rRNA from 1 species
GAUGAACGCUGGCGGCAUGCCUAAUACAUGCAAGUCGAACGAGAGGAAGGAAAGCUUGCUUUUCUGAAUCUAGUGGCAAACAGGUGAGUAACACGUAGGUAACCUGCCCAUGUGCCCGGGAUAACUUCUGGAAACGGAUGCUAAAACCGGAUAGGUAGCAGACAAGCAUUUGACUGCUAUUAAAGUGGCUAAGGCCAUGAACAUGGAUGGACCUGCGGUGCAUUAGCUAGUUGGUGAGGUAACGGCCCACCAAGGCGACGAUGCAUAGCCGGCCUGAGAGGGCGGACGGCCACAUUGGGACUGAGACACGGCCCAAACUCCUACGGGAGGCAGCAGUAGGGAAUUUUCGUCAAUGGGGGGAACCCUGAACGAGCAAUGCCGCGUGAGUGAGGAAGGUCUUCGGAUCGUAAAGCUCUGUUGUAAGAGAAAAACGACAUUCAUAGGGAAUGAUGAGUGAGUGAUGGUAUCUUACCAGAAAGUCACGGCUAACUACGUGCCAGCAGCCGCCGUAAUAC